UUGUGAACAUUGUGGCGCGCCGGACGCCAAGGUAGAGCACUAUCUAAUGGAAUGCGAGCACACUCGCUUCCUCAGGCAGGGACCAGAGACGACAGGCGCCGGGCGGAUAUGCUUAUCGCUUGCCCCCUGGUAACUGGAGCGCCUUCACGCAAUCCGACCGCCACGGUGAAGAUAGCCUUGAUGAUCGCCCAUUCACAGUCUCUACCAAGCACUAUCUUCAGAGAGUGAUAAUGCACAACACAACCUCUGGCUCUAAAGUACUGACUAUGCAGGAUGAGCAGGUAUAAUGAGGAGAGCGUGUUGACCAGUACUUCAUCUCUCGUCUCAUCAAGUUGCACGUCCAGAGACAACUGUGGGGACAGCCGUAAAUAAGGUAUCCCACACAUGCCACACCAUGCUCGUGCACGAUCCACAGUCCGAUUAUCUGCCAUUGUUGCCUGGGCACUCACCUAAAGCUAAUGCAAGAGCAAGAAUUCCUCCUGUACUUGUUCCUGCUAUCCAAUCAAACAACUGUAAAACAGGCCUGCCUGUUGCUUCUUCUAUAGCAAGUAAAAGCUGAAUAAGGACAAGACCUUUG
rnacentral:lncRNA from 1 species